rnacentral:tRNA from 2 species
GGGCUCGUAGCUCAGGGGCAGAGCGGCCGGCUCAUAACCGGUUGGUCGCAGGUUCGAAUCCUGCCGGGCCCA